GAAGGCCCGUGCCUCCACCGAUGGCACCCCCUCCGCCGGCCCCGCCUACCGCAGCGUCUUCGCCAAGGACGGCUUCCCCGCCCCCAUCCCUGGUCUCGAGAGCUGCUGGGACGUGUUCCGCAUGGCGGUGGAGAAGUAUCCCGGGAAUCGGAUGCUCGGGCGGCGCACCGUGGUCGACGGCAAGCCGGGGAAGUAUGAGUGGACGACUUACAAGGAGGUGUAUGACAAUGUGAUGAGGGUCGGGGCUUCGAUUCGUAGCUGCGGGGUUGAGCAGGGCGGUCGGUGUGGUAUCUAUGGUGCAAAUUCGGCCGAGUGGAUCAUUAGUAUGGAGGCUUGCAAUGCUCAUGGGAUUUAUUGCGUUCCCUUGUACGAUACACUUGGUGCUGGUGCGGUUGAAUUCAUUAUAUGCCAUGCAGAAAUUCAGAUUGCCUUUGCCGAGGAAAAGAAAGUUGCAGAGUUGUUGAAGACCUUUCCCAGCACAACCAAGUUAUUGAAAACAAUUGUGAGCUUUGGCCAGGUCACUCCAGAACAGAGGGAAGAGGUUGGAAAGUAUGGUUUAGCAAUAUAUUCAUGGGAAGAGUUCUUGCUCUUGGGGGAUAAUGAACAAUUUAAUCUACCAGUAAACAAGAAAGAAGAUAUUUGUACCAUAAUGUACACCAGUGGAACAACUGGUGACCCUAAGGGUGUAAUGAUUUCCAACAAGAAUAUCAUUACUCUCAUUUCUGGCGUUGAUCGGUUGCUCUAUUCUGUGAAUGAACAGUUGGAUGAGAAUGAUGUUUAUUUAUCAUAUCUCCCUCUUGCUCACAUCUUUGAUCGGGUGAUUGAAGAGUUGUUUAUUUUUCAUGGAGCUUCCAUUGGAUUUUGGC
rnacentral:misc_RNA from 1 species